UGCUUUCUCUCUAUUUCAUUCUGGCAAAUCUCUGCUUCCUGGAUCAGCUACUCCCCUACCAUUGCAGUCGCUAGGGUGAAGUCCUCCAAUCAUGUUCUCCGACCCAACGAUCUUCAAGUCCUCAAGAUUUCAUUUUCCAGUUGGUGUGAUAGAUACAAUAAAUAUGACAAAAGAAGUAUUAAAAUAUUUAAUAUUUAUUAUUUAGUAUUUGAUGCUUCUUAUAUUUUUUUUAGAAAUAAUUAAUUAUCUAGACUUAAUCCUAUACCAAGUCAAAUACAUGCAGAUAAAAUCCAAACUUAAGCUUGAUGAAAUCUACUUUAAAGCUCAAGAAGGGACAUGC
rnacentral:lncRNA from 1 species